rnacentral:lncRNA from 1 species
AGUUUUAUGCUGGGAUGCGUCCUUCCAUCGACAAGGCAUCCCACAUCUGGUGACCCGGAAACCGGACAAACCGCACCGCCAUGGCUGACCCAGAAGCCCUCACCGCUCUUCGCCAGCAAGUGCAACAACUUCAACAGGAACUGCAGACCCAGCUACCUCAGCUAUCAGCUCUGUGCAGAUAACAGCGAAAGUCCUCGCCGAGGCUCAGACUACGGACGCCGAACUGCAGGAGCUUCUCAAGGGCAGGUGCUCACUACAGCUGCACCAAGUCCCCAUUCCAGAGUCGAAAACCACAAUCUGUUGCGACAUGUCAACAGGACGAAGCAGGCCCUAUGUGCCCCUGUCCCAUAGCCGUGGUCUUUCCAACCCGCUCCACAACCUCAG